CCUACGGGAGGCUGCAGUGGGGGAUAUUGCACAAUGGGGGAAACCCUGAUGCAGCGACGCGGCGUGAGUGAAGAAGGAUUUCGGGAUGUAAAGCUCUAUCAGCAGGGAAGAAAAUGACAGUACCUGACCAAGAAGCCCCGGCUAACGACGUGCCAGCAGCCGCGGUAAUACGUAGGGGGCAAGCGUUAUCCGGAUUUACUGGGUGGAAAGGGAGCGUAGACGGUUAUGUAAGUCUGGAGUGAAAGCCCGUGGCCCAACCCCGGGACUGCUUUGGAAACUGUGUAACUGGAGUACAGGAGGGGCAGGCGGAAUUCCUGGUGUAGCGGUGAAAUGCGUAGAUAUCAGGAGGAACACCGGCGGCGAAGGCGGCCUGCUGGACUGAAACUGACGUUGAGGCUCGAAAGCGUGGGGAGCAAACAGGAUUAGAUACCCGGGUAGUC
rnacentral:rRNA from 1 species